GAAGUAAAAGUCGUAACAAGGUCUCCGUAGGUGAACCUGCGGAGGGAUCAUUACAAGUGACCCCGGUUUAACCACCGGGAUGUUCAUAACCCUUUGUUGUCCGACUCUGUUGCCUCCGGGGCGACCCUGCCUUCGGGCGGGGGCUCCGGGUGGACACUUCAAACUCUUGCGUAACUUUGCAGUCUGAGUAAACUUAAUUAAUAAAUUAAAACUUUUAACAACGGAUCUCUUGGUUCUGGCAUCGAUGAAGAACGCAGCGAAAUGCGAUAAGUAAUGUGAAUUGCAGAAUUCAGUGAAUCAUCGAAUCUUUGAACGCACAUUGCGCCCCCUGGUAUUCCGGGGGGCAUGCCUGUUCGAGCGUCAUUUCACCACUCAAGCCUCGCUUGGUAUUGGGCAACGCGGUCCGCCGCGUGCCUCAAAUCGACCGGCUGGGUCUUCUGUCCCCUAAGCGUUGUGGAAACUAUUCGCUAAAGGGUGCUCGGGAGGCUACGCCGUAAAACAACCCCAUUUCUAAGGUUGACCUCGGAUCAGGUAGGGAUACCCGCUGAACUUAAGCAUAU
rnacentral:rRNA from 1 species